rnacentral:rRNA from 1 species
UACGUAGGGUGCGAGCGUUGUCCGGAAUUAUUGGGCGUAAAGAGCUCGUAGGCGGUGUGUCGCGUCGGUCGUGAAAACUUGGGGCUUAACUCUGAGCUUGCGGUCGAUACGGGCAUCACUGGAGUUCGGCAGGGGAGACUGGAAUUCCUGGUGUAGCGGUUGAAAUGCGCAGAUAUCAGGAGGGAACACCGGUGGCGAAGGCGG